rnacentral:rRNA from 1 species
GACGAACGCUGGCGGCGUGCCUAAUACAUGCAAGUUGAGCGCUGAAGGUUGGUACUUGUUCCAACUGGAUGAGCAGCGAACGGGUGAGUAACGCGUGGGGAAUCUGCCUUUGAGCGGGGGACAACAUUUGGAAACGAAUGCUAAUACCGCAUAAAAACUUUAAACACAAGUUUUAAGUUUGAAAGAUGCAAUUGCAUCACUCAAAGAUGAUCCCGCGUUGUAUUAGCUAGUUGGUGAGGUAAAGGCUCACCAAGGCGAUGAUACAUAGCCGACCUGAGAGGGUGAUCGGCCACAUUGGGACUGAGACACGGCCCAAACUCCUACGGGAGGCAGCAGUAGGGAAUCUUCGGCAAUGGACGAAAGUCUGACCGAGCAACGCCGCGUGAGUGAAGAAGGUUUUCGGAUCGUAAAACUCUGUUGGUAGGGAAGAACGUUGGUGAGAGUGGAAAGCUCAUCAAGUGACGGUAACUACCCAGAAAGGGACGGCUAACUACGUG